ACUCCUACGGGAGGCAGCAGUAGGGAAUCUUCCACAAUGGGCGCAAGCCUGAUGGAGCAACAACCGCGUGAGUGAAGAAGGGUUUCGGGCUCGUAAAGCUCUGUUGUUAAAGAAGAACACGUAUGAGAGUAACUGUUCAUACGUUGACGGUAUUUAACCAGAAAGUCACGGCUAACUACGUGCCAGCAGCCGCGGUAAUACGUAGGUGGCAAGCGUUAUCCGGAUUUAUUGGGCGUAAAGAGAGUGCAGGCGGUUUUCUAAGUCUGAUGUGAAAGCCUUCGGCUUAACCGGAGAAGUGCAUCGGAAACUGGAUAACUUGAGUUGCAGAAGAGGGUAGUGGAACUCCAUGUGUAGCGGUGGAAUGCGUAGAUAUAUGGAAGAACACCAGUGGCGAAGGCGGCUACCUGGUCUGCAACUGACGCUGAGACUCGAAAGCAUGGGUAGCGAACAGGGAUUAGAUACCCUGGUAGGAUAGCG
rnacentral:rRNA from 1 species